rnacentral:rRNA from 1 species
ACGUAGGAGACGAGCGUUAUCCGGAUUUACUGGGCGUAAAGCGCGUGCAGGCGGUCUAUUAAGUCACUUGUGAAAGCGCCCGGCUCAACUGGGCGAGGCCGUGUGAGACUGAUAGACUUGAGAGAGGUAGAGGCGAAUGGAAUUCCGGGUGGAGUGGUGAAAUGCGUAGAGAUCCGGAGGAACACCAGUGGCGAAGGCGAUUCGCUGGGCCUUCUCUGACGCUCAGACGCGACAGCAUGGGGAGCGAACGGGA